rnacentral:rRNA from 1 species
AUUGAACGCUGGCGGCAUGCCUUACACAUGCAAGUCGAACGGCAGCACGGGAGCAAUCCUGGUGGCGAGUGGCGAACGGGUGAGUAAUAUAUCGGAACGUGCCCAGUCGUGGGGGAUAACGUAGCGAAAGCUACGCUAAUACCGCAUACGAUCUAUGGAUGAAAGCGGGGGAUCGCAAGACCUCGCGCGAUUGGAGCGGCCGAUAUCAGAUUAGGUAGUUGGUGAGGGAAAGGCUCACCAAGCCGACGAUCUGUAGCUGGUCUGAGAGGACGACCGGCCACACUGGGACUGGGACACGGCCCAGACUCCUACGGGAGGCAGCAGUGGGGAAUUUUGGACAAUGGGCGCAAGCCUGAUCCAGCAAUGCCGCGUGCAGGAUGAAGGCCUUCGGGUUGUAAACUGCUUUUGUACGGAACGAAACGGCGAGCUCUAAUACAGUUUGCUAAUGACGGUACCGUAAGAAUAAGCACCGGCUAACUACGUGCCAGCCGCCGCAGUAA